GUGAGGAAUUUUGCGCAAUGGGGGCAACCCUGACGCAGCGACGCCGCGUGGAGGACGAAGUCUUUCGGGAUGUAAACUCCUUUCAGUGGGGACGAUAAUGACGGUACCCACAGAGGAAGCACCGGCUAACUCCGUGCCAGCAGCAGCGGUAAGACGGAGGGUGCAAGCGUUGUUCGGAAUUACUGGGCGUAAAGCGUAUGUAGGCGGCAAGUUAAGUUUAAUGUUAAAGCCCACGGCUCAACCGAGGAGAUGCAUUGAAUACUGGCUAGCUAGAGGGUGUUAGAGGAAGACGGAAUUCCCAGUGUAGCGGUGAGAUGCGUAGAUAUUGGGAGGAACAUCGGUAGCGAAAGCGGUCUUCUGGGACAUACCUGACGCUGAGGUACGAAAGCGUGGGGAGCAAACGGGAUUAGAUACCCGGGUAGUCC
rnacentral:rRNA from 1 species